rnacentral:rRNA from 1 species
AUAUUGGACAAUGGGGGCAACCCUGAUCCAGCAACGCCGCGUGGAGGACGAAGGUCUUCGGAUUGUAAACUCCUGUCAGAGGGGACGAAGGCUCCGGGGGUAAUACCCCUUGGAGCUUGACGGUACUCUCAGAGGAAGCCACGGCUAACUCUGUGCCAGCAGCCGCGGUAAUACAGAGGUGGCUAGCGUUAUUCGGAAUUAUUGGGCGUAAAGGGCGCGUAGGCGGCCUGAUGUGUCCACGGUGAAAUCCCUCGGCUCAACCGAGGAACUGCCGUGGAAACUGUCGGGCUCGAGGCCGGGAGAGGGUGGUGGAAUUCCCAGUGUAGCGGUGAAAUGCGUAGAUAUUGGGAGGAACACCAGUGGCGAAGGCGGCCACCUGGACCGGUUCUGACGCUGAGGCGCGAAAGCGUGGGGAGCAAACAGG